rnacentral:rRNA from 1 species
GAUGAACGCUGGCGGCGUGCCUAAUACAUGCAAGUCGAGCGAACGGACGAGAAGCUUGCUUUUCUGAUGUUAGCGGCGGACGGGUGAGUAACACGUGGAUAACCUACCUAUAAGACUGGGAUAACUUCGGGAAACCGGAGCUAAUACCGGAUAAUAUUUUGAACCGCAUGGUUCAAAAGUGAAAGACGGUCUUGCUGUCGCUUAUAGAUGGAUCCGCGCUGCAUUAGCUAGUUGGUAAGGUAACGGCUUACCAAGGCAACGAUGCAUAGCCGACCUGAGAGGGUGAUAGGCCACACUGGAACUGAGACACGGUCCAGACUCCUACGGGAGGCAGCAGUAGGGAAUCUUCCGCAAUGGGCGAAAGCCUGACGGAGCAACGCCGCGUGAGUGAUGAAGGUCUUCGGAUCGUAAAACUCUGUUAUUAGGGAAGAACAUAUGUGUAAGUAACUGUGCACAUCUUGACGGUACCUAAUCAGAAAGCCACGGCUAACUACGUG